ACACGAGAGAGGAGGUGGUCCGUACUUUGCAUGCUUAUCGGACUCGUGAGGUGGCUGUCCGCUAGCCGCCGUCCAGAUGGGCCGCCCGUUCGGAGACUUUUUCGAACGACGGCAUGAUCGCCCGUCCGUCGUACGGCGGCGAGCGAGAACCGGACAGUCACCCGACCCCCGGGCUGCCGACAUUUGUCCAGUCGGCCCGCGAGCCGCUCCCCUGCACCGCAGGGUCCAGCGCCGCGGAGCAGCCCGGGGGUUGUCCGUU
rnacentral:sRNA from 1 species